rnacentral:rRNA from 1 species
AGAGUGAACGCUGGCGGCAUGCCUAACACAUGCAAGUCGAACGGUAACAGGCCCGCAAGGGUGCUGACGAGUGGCGGACGGGUGAGGAAUACAUCGGAAUCUGCCCGGUUGUGGGGGAUAACGUAGGGAAACUUACGCUAAUACCGCAUACGACCGAAAGGUGAAAGCGUGGGAUCCGCAAGGACCUCGCGCAGCCGGAUGAGCCGAUGUCGGAUUAGCUAGUUGGCGGGGUAAAAGCCCACCAAGGCGACGAUCCGUAGCUGGUCUGAGAGGAUGAUCAGCCACACUGGGACUGAGACACGGCCCAGACUCCUACGGGAGGCAGCAGUGGGGAAUAUUGGACAAUGGGGGCAACCCUGAUCCAGCAAUGCCGCGUGAGUGAUGAAGGCCUUAGGGUUGUAAAGCUCUUUCGCCCGCGACGAUGAUGACGGUAGCGGGAGAAGAACGCCCCGGCUAACUUCGCGCCAGCAGCCGCGGU